GGUCAGGACGAACGCUGGCGGCGUGCCUAACACAUGCAAGUCGAGCGGAGAUUUCCGGGGGAGCUUGCUCCACUGGGAUUCAGCGGCGGACGGGUGAGUAACGCGUGAGCAACCUGCCUUCGAACAGGGGGAUAACGCAAUCGAAAGAUGUGCUAAUACCGCAUAAGACCACAACAUCACAUGGUGAAGGGGUCAAAAGGAGCAAUCCGGUUGAAGAUGGGCUCGCGUCCGAUUAGCUGGUUGGUGAGACAACAGCCCACCAAGGCGACGAUCGGUAGCCGGCCUGAGAGGGUGAUCGGCCACAUUGGAACUGAGAUACGGUCCAGACUCCUACGGGAGGCAGCAGUGGGGAAUAUUGGGCAAUGGGCGAAAGCCCUGACCCAGCAACGCCGCGUGAGGGAAGAAGGGUUUCGGCUCGUUAAACCUCUGUCCUGUGGGACGAAGGAAGUGACGGUACCACAGGAAGGAAGCCCCGGCUAACUACGUGCCAGCAGCAGC
rnacentral:rRNA from 1 species